UAUGAUGACUCUCGGCAACGGAUAUCUCGGCUCUCGCAUCGAUGAAGAACGCAGCGAAAUGCGAUACUUGGUGUGAAUUGCAGAAUCCCGUGAACCAUCGAGUCUUUGAACGCAAGUUGCGCCCAAAGCCAUUCGGUCGAGGGCACGUCUGCCUGGGCGUCACACAUC
rnacentral:rRNA from 1 species